rnacentral:rRNA from 1 species
UACGUAGGGCGCAAGCGUUGUCCGGAAUUAUUGGGCGUAAAGAGCUCGUAGGCGGCUUGUCGCGUCGGUUGUGAAAACCCGGAGCUCAACUCCGGGCCUGCAGUCGAUACGGGCAGACUGGAGUUCGGCAGGGGAGACUGGAAUUCCUGGUGUAGCGGUGAAAUGCGCAGAUAUCAGGAGGAACACCGGUGGCGAAGGCGGGUCUCUGGGCCGAUACUGACGCUGAGGAGCGAAAGCGUGGGGAGCGAACAGG